GGGAGGCAGCAGUGGGGAAUAUUGGACAAUGGGCGAAAGCCUGAUCCAGCAAUGCCGCGUGAGUGAUGAAGGCCUUAGGGUUGUAAAGCUCUUUUACCCGGGAUGAUAAUGACAGUACCGGGAGAAUAAGCCCCGGCUAACUCCGUGCCAGCAGCCGCGGUAAUACGGAGGGGGCUAGCGUUAUUCGGAAUUACUGGGCGUAAAGCGCACGUAGGCGGCUAUUCAAGUCAGAGGUGAAAGCCCAGAGCUCAACUCCGGAACUGCCUUUGAAACUAGAUAGCUUGAACAUCGGAGAGGUAAGUGGAAUUCCGAGUGUAGAGGUGAAAUUCGUAGAUAUUCGGAAGAACACCAGUGGCGAAGGCGGCUUACUGGACGAUUGUUGACGCUGAGGUGCGAAAGCGUGGGGAGCAAACAGGAUUAGAAACCCUGGUAGUCCC
rnacentral:rRNA from 1 species